CAGCAGCCGCGGUAAUACGGAGGGGGCUAGCGUUGUUCGGAAUUACUGGGCGUAAAGCGCACGUAGGCGGCUUGGUAAGUUAGAGGUGAGAGCCUGGAGCUCAACUCCAGAAUUGCCUUUAAGACUGCCGAGCUAGCAGGUGAGAGAGGUAAGUGGAAUUCCGAGUGUAGAGGUGAAAUUCGUAGAUAUUCGGAAGAACACCAGUGGCGAAGGCGGCUUACUGGCUCAUACUGGACGCUGAGGUGCGAAAGCGUGGGGAGCAAACAGGAUUAGAUACCCCGGUAGUCCCUGUCUCUUAUAC
rnacentral:rRNA from 1 species